UAGGGAAUCUUCCACAAUGGACGAAAGUCUGAUGGAGCAACGCCGCGUGAGUGAAGAAGGAUUUCGGUUCGUAAAACUCUGUUGCAAGGGAAGAACAAGUAGCGUAGUAACUGGCGCUACCUUGACGGUACCUUGUUUGAAAGCCACGGCUAACUACGUGCCAGCAGCCGCGGUAAUACGUAGGUGGCAAGCGUUGUCCGGAAUUAUUGGGCGUAAAGCGCGCGCAGGUGGUUCCUUAAGUCUGAUGUGAAAGCCCCCGGCUCAACCGGGGAGGGUCAUUGGAAACUGGGGAACUUGAGUGCAGAAGAGGAUAGUGGAAUUCCAAGUGUAGCGGUGAAAUGCGUAGAGAUUUGGAGGAACACCAGUGGCGAAGGCGACUGUCUGGUCUGUAACUGACACUGAGGCGCGAAAGCGUGGGGAGCAAACAGG
rnacentral:rRNA from 1 species